rnacentral:rRNA from 1 species
ACCGGAGUAGUGCAUUGGAAACUGGGAGGCUUGAGUGCAGAAGAGGGGAGUGGAACUCCAUGUGUAGCGGUGAAAUGCGUAGAUAUAUGGAAGGAAACCAGUGGCGAAAGCGGCUCUCUGGUCUGUAACUGACGCUGGGGUUCGAAAGCGUGGGUAGCAAACAGG